rnacentral:rRNA from 1 species
ACUCCUACAGGAGGCAGCAGUGGGGAAUAUUGCACGAAUGGGGAAGCCCAUCGAUGCAGCCAUGCCGCGUGUGUGAAGAAGGCCUUCGGGUUGUAAAGCACUUUCAGUAGGGAGGAAGGUAGUGUAGUUAACACCUGCAUUAUUUGACGUUACCUACAGAAGAAGCACCGGCUAACUCCGUGCCAGCAGCCGCGGUAAUACGGAGGGUGCGAGCGUUAAUCGGAAUUACUGGGCGUAAAGCGCAUGCAGGCGGCCUGUUAAGUCAGAUGUGAAAGCCCGGGGCUUAACCUCGGAAUUGCAUUUGAAACUGGCAGGCUAGAGUCUUGUAGAGGGGGUGAGAAUUAUCAGGUGUAGCGGUGAAAUGCGUAGAGAUCUGAAGGAAUACCAGUGGCGAAGGCGGCCCCCUCGAGAA